GGCACUGUCGCCUAGUGGUCAAAGCGCUUGUCUCGUAAACAGGAGAUCCUGGCUUCAAAUCCCAGCAGUGCCU